rnacentral:ncRNA from 1 species
AACUGUUAAAGGCAAGCUCGUCGAAAGGCGGGUACGCAAAGCCAUGGGUCUAAUGCUAUUGUAGCGAUGACAGCCGGUUGCCAGG